GGGCGGGGAGGGAGGCAGGGCGCGCCUCGCCUGCCGCCUGCCUCGGGGUGUCUGAUUCAGAAGGUCUGGGAUGGGGCCCAAGAAUUUGCAUUUCUAAGAAGUUUCCUGCCUCCGGGCUGCUACUGCAGCGGCUCAGGGGCCACACCUGGAGAAUCACUGUUCCAGAUGCUUCUCGGUAAAGGAAAAACGCCAAAUGGGGCUGCCACACCCUCCCUCCGAUGCAGGAGACAUCACCACCACCUCCACCGUUUAUCAGCGUGCUGCAAUCGCACAGACUGAAGGCCAAAUUCUUCCCAGAAGACGCACAGCACCGACUCCGUGUUGUUCUAGGGCCGAUGAGGGGCCGGAAGUGCAAAAGGACAAGACGCACAGAUCCAUCAGCAGCAUCAGAACGUGAAGGAGGCCCUGCGUCCUGUGGUGCAGACUUUCCCUGAAACAGACUCGCAAUUACACAACCUCACACGGGAAUCAACGGCAAGGAGCGCCUCCCUCUCCACUCCACAGAAAGAAAAGCCCUGACCGGUUUUGCUCACUGGAUAGAGUGUCGGCCUGCGGAC